GACCUGAGCCCUAGGACCAUGCCCCAGGAUUACCUGACAUGAUGACUCCUUGCUGUCCCCAGUCCACCUGGUCGUGCUGCUGCUCCAGUUUCAACUGUUCUGCCUUCUUAUUAUUCGAACAUGCUGGUCAUUUAUGAACAUUUGAACAUCUUGGCCAUGUUCUGUUAUAAUCUCCACCCGGCACAGCCAGAAGAGGACUGGCCACCCCACAUAGCCUGGUUCCUCUCUAGGUUUCUUCCUAGAUUUUGGCCUUUCUAGGGAGUUUUUCCUAGCCACUGUGCUUCUACACCUGCAUUGCUUGCUGUUUGGGGUUUUAGGCUGGGUUUCUGUACAGCACUUUGAGAUAUCAGCUGAUGUACGAAGGGCUAUAUAAAUACAUUUGAUUUGAUUUGAUUUUGAAGAUCAUCACUGGAAACAAACUAUUUUCCAUAAAAUAUGGCAGAAUGUUCUAACUAGUUUUUAUUGGGAAGCAGAGCAUUUAUUUGAACAAAAAUAGUCACAAUCAUUCUCAUUACUCCAAAUAAUUUACUUAUGUCACUUUUGUUUUGAUCCGACGUCGCAGUCCGCCAUGUGUUUUUUUCACAGUGGAGAGAACAGCAUACAUGGAGAAGCCUGGCAUGCUGUCUCCUGACCGGUUAAAGGCUGUGGAUCCGAAGGUAACCACCCUCGUUUCGGCACUCCCCUUUGGCCUCUUCCCCAGAGCUGAGGAUCCAAAUCACGUUUGGCACGUUUCGUUAUUUUAAAAAAUAAAUAUAGGUUUUAUAGAUAUUGAGUUAUGUACAAUGUUGUUUUGAAUGAUGUACUGGGAGCGAAUUUUAGAGCUGAUGGUGUCUACUUGCAUAGGCCUGCCUGUGUUUUAUUUCAAAGCACAUUUUGGCACAACGCUGUUGAGUUUUGGCGGCAGGAGAGAAAUGCGACCAUUCGCACAAUCAUCCUAAAAUCUCAUCCUAAAAUCCUAAAAUCUCAUUAAUGCGGUGGUGUUUUGUCUUACAGUAACGUUAUGCUAUUAUAUUUGGUUAAGUACAAUCCCAUAACUAUGUGAUCUUGCAGACAUUGCUUAAGCUUUGAUCUAACUUUAUUAAACAAGUAGCAUUCGCCACACUCUUUAGCUAACGGAAUUGCUGCAGAACCCUCUUCCCGACAGCUAAAGGUCCCGAAGCUUCUGUGCAUGUGUGGGAUUCUCUACUUUAUGUACAGAUUGUUUAUGGUAGGGGCAGCCAUGAGCUACUGACAAACGAAAGCAAUUGCAUUUUAUCGAUGGAAAUUUGAAUGCACUGAGAUACCGUGUUGAAUGAAGCAGGUAGCCUAGUGGUUAGAGCGUUGGACUAGUAACUGAAAGGUUGCAAGAUCGAAUCCCUGAGCUGACAAGGUAAAAAUCUGUCCUUCUGCCUCUGAAAAUAAGAAUUUGUUCUUAACUGACUUGUCCUUGAAUACCCCUGCCAUAGGGGGUGGAAGGGAAUAAGUAGGUAUAUGUGCUAGCCAAACAGGCCCUUAGGAGAGAGGUAGUGGAUGUGGCGGUGCCAAAGGGAAUGAUUUGGACAGGCGGAACAGAGACGCCUAAAGGCAGGCAUCUAUUCUAAGUAAAUAGGAAAGUCAGGGAGGAAGAGACAGGUGAGGCCAUUUUUACAAGGCUAGGACACAGACGGCUGAAUAAGUCAUUACUAUUUUAUAGCCUUUAUUUCACCAGGAAAAGCCCAUUGAGACCCAGAGUCUCUUUUUCUAGUGAGACCUGGCCAAGAAGGCGGCAACAAUCUAUACAUUACAGAAUUAAAACAUACAAUUCAACAACAUGAUCCAGCCCAAAAAAAGCAUUUGCAAUAUUAGGAAGGUGUCUGUGACGCCCACAUGUAGCCAUAGCUAAAUCUCCCUAUCCUUUGCACUUUAACAUUAAUUUGCACCAGACAUUUAGUGUUCAAUCAAAUAAUGACCACAUGGUUUUCAUUUCAAAUAUCAAAGAUACACCUUUAUUGAAUUGUUGAAUACACUAAUUCUAAGUGCACACCCGUAGAUGUAUAUUUGUAGCAUCUUAAUCUAAUAAUUAUUGAUGCGUUUUACCAUUUGAGAUUUUGCAGCACGUUUCUGGUGCCUUAUCUGCAGCAUUGUGGCCAGCUUGUUAGCCGGCCUGCUGCUAAUUGGGUGUCGAUUAACAUAUCAUUUUAACUGGAUUUCUCCAGUUUAACAUGAUAUGCUAGCGUUUUUUAUUUAAAACAAAUUACGUUAAUGAUAUUUAUGCUUAAAAUCAUGUUUCUGCAAAAAAUGUUGGGAAUAGAUCCUUGAUUUUGUUAAUGUGUAUAUUUGUAGCCUCCCUACCUCAUAUUUGGAACUGGCCAUUCUCUUUUAUAUUCUGUGUGCUCAACUAACUCUUGGAGUUUCAAGUGUCAAAUAAAUCAGGAAAUUGGA